CGGCUCUCUCAAGGGUGUUGGCUCAUCCCCUAAUGAAAGGGGGUGAGGCCCAUGACAGUAUAUGAAGCAUUAUCUUUGAUGAUUGGUGGUGGCAUGCUUGUCGCUACGAUCUUCAUUGCAGUAUUUACGGCUAUUACUGUCAUGAAUAAAGAAAAAUAGACACCCUUGAGUGUUUGGGAGAACAACAGGGAGUCUAUUUUCUGUAACUAAUCCAUAUUGAGCCGCCCAUUUAGAGGGAAGGU
rnacentral:sRNA from 1 species